GACGGAGGAUGCAAGUGUUAUCCGGAAUCACUGGGCGUAAAGCGUCUGUAGGUGGUUUAAAAAGUCUGCUGUUAAAAAUUGAAGCUUAACUUCAAAGGUGCCGUAGAAACUUUUAAACUUGAGUAUGGUAGGGGUAGAGGGAAUUUCCAGUGGAGCGGUGAAAUGCGUAGAUCUUGGAAAGACCACCAAUGGCGAAGGCACUCUACUGGGCCAUUACUGACACUGAGAGACGAAAGCUAGGGGAGCAAAUGGG
rnacentral:rRNA from 1 species